AGUGAACGCUGGCGGUAGGCCUAACACAUGCCAGUCGAACGGCAGCACAGUAAGAGCUUGCUCUUACGGGUGGCGAGUGGCGGACGGGUGAGGAAUACAUCGGAAUCUACUUUUUCGUGGGGGAUAACGUAGGGAAACUUACGCUAAUACCGCAUACGACCUACGGGUGAAAGCAGGGGAUCUUCGGACCUUGCGCGAUUGAAUGAGCCGAUGUCGGAUUAGCUAGUUGGCGGGGUAAAGGCCCACCAAGGCGACGAUCCGUAGCUGGUCUGAGAGGAUGAUCGGCCACACUGGAACUGAGACACGGUCCAGACGCCUACGGGAGGCAGCAGUGGGGAAUAGUGGACAAUGGGCGCAAGCCUGAUCCAGCCAUACCGCGUGGGUGAAGAAGGCCUUCGGGUUGUAAAGCCCUUUUGUUGGGAAAGAAAAGCAGCAGGUUAAUACCCCGCUGUUCUGACGGUACCCAAAGAAUAAGCACCGGCUAACUUCGUG
rnacentral:rRNA from 1 species